UCCCAAUAAGUCCCUUGUGUUUGGUUUAGGUGGGACUUAUAGGGAUUUUUUUAAGUCCCUGGAAACAAACACCCUCCUACACGAUCCUCCAAAUAUCUUCGGCAGACAUUCGAGUGGUGGUACUCAUCCAGCAACCACCUGAUCUGGACACGACAUGCUCUCUCGCUCUCUUGCAAGAGGAGGUCAUCAACUCGGCGCAAUCCUUGCACCAGCAACGAGUCAUGCCGCGCGGAAAUGACGCGCUCCUGUGAGCGGGCACUCCAUUGCCCUUGCCACCUCCUCCAUGUCCAAUUCCUGCCACUUCGUCAACACCGGCACUUGAUCGUCAUGGGGUGGAAAAGCGCACGUGCGGAUAAUUCCAAGGCCAAAGCACUGCGCGAUUACAGACGCACUCGGUGCUGUGUUUCAAGUGUGGAAAGCGUUGAGGCCAUGAGCACGUGUGCCCAACAUCUGUGCGGCUUCACAUUGUCGAAGAAUUACUGGAGUUGUACGGUCUUGAUGACAGUGUUGAUGCCGUUUAGUUGGCGCCAGCUUCGCAACCUCAGCAGGCUGAAGACACAGUCAUGGCCAUCUCUUGCCCGACGCUAUCAGGGGGCGUCUCAGCCAUGGCAUUCCAACUACAAGCCUGGAUCCAAGGCAAGGAAGUAUUGAUGCUGGUCGA